ensembl:misc_RNA Metazoa_SRP Metazoan signal recognition particle RNA
GCCAGUCGCGGUGGCAUGUGCCUGUAGUCCCAGCUACUCGGGAGACUGAGGUGGGAGGUUCACUUGGGCCCAGGAGUUCUGGGCUGCAAUGCGCUAUGCCUAUCGGGUGUCCACACUAAAUUCGGCAUCAAUAUGGUGACCUCCCGGAAGUGGAGGAACACCAGGUUGCCUAAGGAGGGUGAAGCAGUCCAGGUCGGAAACGGAGCAGGUCAAAACUCCCACUGAUUAGUAGUGGGAUCCUGCCUGUGAAUAGCCACUGCACCCCAGCCUGGGCAACACAGCAAGACCCCAUCUCUA